rnacentral:rRNA from 1 species
GUCCACGCUGUAAACGAUGAUAACUAGGUGUUGGAGGUAUUGACCCCUUCAGCGCCGCAGCUAACGCAUUAAGUUAUCCGCCUGGGGAGUACGGUCGCAAGACUAAAACUCAAAGGAAUUGACGGGGGCCCGCACAAGCGGUGGAGUAUGUGGUUUAAUUCGACGCAACGCGAAGAACCUUACCUGGGUUAGAAAUCAACCGGAAGGUCUGUAGAGAUAUGGAUCGUCCCCGCAAGGGGACCGGUUGACAGGUGCUGCAUGGCUGUCGU